rnacentral:lncRNA from 1 species
UGAAAUGCAUGGCUAUUUAAGUGCAUGGAUCAGUGAGUGUAUAUAUCCAUGUAAAACAGAUCCCUAUCAAGAUAUAGAACAUUUUCAUCACCCCAGAAACUUCUUCCUGUUUCUGGUCAGCUUCCCCACCUUCAGCCAGUCACACUUUAAGCUUUCUAUUGGUAUAGAACAGUUUUGCUUAUUCUUGAAUUUCAUAUAACUAGAAUCACAUAAGAUGCACUUUUUUGUGUCUAGCUUCUUUCACCCAAUAUUAUAUUUGGUUUUUGAGGUUCAUCUUUGCAGUUGUAUAAAUCAAGUUUGUUUCUUUUUAUUGCUGAAUAGUGUUUUAUUGUAUAAAUAUACAAUAAGGUCUUUCUCAAAUCUCUUGUUGAUGGAUAUUUGGAUUAUUUCCAAUCUUUUUGGCUGGUCUGAAUAAAGUUGCUAUAAAUAUUCUGGUACAAGACUUUUUGUGGGCAUAUGUUUUCAUUUCUAUUGAAUAAAACCUGAGAGUAAAAUUGCUGGAUCAUAGGAAAGGUCCUUGUGUAAAUGCACAGCAUUUUUAUAGUUUAGAAAUGUUUCCUUAAGGUUAUACGGUGAAAUGUUAUAGAUUUCCAAAAACCACUCCUAAAAUUUAGAGAGAAUUUUUACUUUUAUAUAGUAUCCGGGAUAUUUCUACCUAUAGGCAACAUAUUGUUCCAGUAACCCAAAGUGUGUUUUGCUUUAUUGUGAAGAUGUCACCUAAAGGCCAUUUUGAAGAGUAUAUUCAGCCUGUGAUGUCUCCCCAGUAAAAUUACCCCCUUGAGCAAGAGAGGAGCCCAUGGCAUUAAUUAAUGUUUAUUGUGCCAUGCUGAUUGCCUCUUCCCUGGGAAGAGGGCAGUCUUGGGACCAGGUCCUGCGUGAGCUAAGAAAAGGGAUGACUUCUCUGAUCACCCACAAAAGAUAUGUGUGAAGAGAUGCAGUUUAGAGACCUGGUCAAUGACAAAGGAAAAGGUGAAGUCAAAAAAUCUUUUGGAGAAGCAUCUAAAGGUGGAGUCAGGAUUGCAUUAUCGACAAUGGUGAUAGGAUUUUAAGAACUGUAUAAAUUGUUCAUUUAUUUAAUUUGCUUUGCUGACCUUGUUUUCCCUGCAGUGAUUCAUAAGAAGUUAAGUAAGUCUCUCGAUGCCAUGAGGUUUGGGGGGUGGUUCUCUUCUGGAGAUACCAUAUCUCAUGCUGGGGAUUGGAGAGACACUCUGUUGGGGGGGCAUGGGGGAGCAGAGUAGAUUGCAACAGAAAGGGAACCACACAUGGAAACCAGCCUGUGUGGCCUUAGGAAUUCAUGGUCUACAGGCUGAUGGUGGGAUGCAUUCUUCAGAACUUGGAAACUCAGGUACUGUUAAACCCUCAUCUGUUACUGUGAAUUGACCAACUUCUAGUCUUGUGUUGGUCUGUUAGUCUGUGCACCGUGUCUCUGACUGUUAUAUCAUUGUGUGACCUUGACAGAUCCACUUGUCAUUGGGUUUUGGCAGGUUUCCUUGGGCAGUUGUGCUGGGUGAGUGCAACACUAGAGUUUUCUGCUGUUAUCCUGCAAAGGUGAUGUAAUUCCUUAAUUAAAUGAUUGUAUUUCCAUUUAGGCUUCCUUUUAGCCUAUGAAUUUCCUACAUGAAGAUCACCUAAUUUGAUGAUGUGGGAAUUUUGUUUCUUGGCCUGAGUCCUUGUUGGCAAUUCCACAUGAUUAAAAAAUGUCUGGAGAGCAUCUUCAGGUAGAAAAGCCUUUGGUGGCUCAUUGUCAUCUGCUCCUUGAAUGGAUGUCUGUUUCUCUUGGCUCUCUCACUCGAACUUUUUAUCAUCCAUGAAGUACUGCCAGGUGAGAAUGCAGCCUCUUAGGGAUGAUUCGGAGAGAUUAAUUAAUGCUUUGGUUUUUGGAGACUGUAAGGCUGUAACUCUCCACUUGUGGGAGUGCCAGAUCUUGGCAGGUUACCCCAAGAACAAGUCCCCAUGUUCUGAAAAAGUAAGAGGUAUCAAGACUCCCUCCCCUCCACUGGUAGGAAAUGCAGUUUUCAAAAAUUCUAUAUAGGAUUCUAAGUAUUUUUUAACUUUUUUUUAAAACUGGGAACUGAACUAAAUCUAUUUGCUGGAUCUUUUGUCACCAUAUGUCCCCAGUCACCUGGUGAGAAAGGAAGCAGCAGGCAAUUUAAUUUGUUCACAGAAUAAUCUCAGGUCCCUUGGAGUAAGAGCUUUUAUCAGCUCUGCUCCCUAAUUGUAGAAUUUACUACCAAUUUCUAGUCAUAGUGCCCUGCCUGUCUCUCCUUAAAUAAACUAAAGUUUUCUGCAUGCCCAGGAAUGUUUGAAACCCCCUGGUGAGGGGGCCCCUGAAAGAGGCAGGGAGAAAUGUUUAUUGUUCAGAGCUCAGGUUCUCCCUUGGAAAGAAGGAUAUGCAAAUCCACACUCACGUUUACUCUUAUUUUUGCCUCAGGAGUCCAUGUAAGGAAAAUAAGAAUAAUGAUAAUAAAAUCAAGGGAAACAUAGUCGGGGAGGCAGGAGAUUUUUACAAGAGGAAAAAUACAAAGAGGGAAGCGAAGAUCUUGGACACGCCAAGGAGGGAAUGAAUCAACCUUUUCUCUUGUGUCCUCUCCUCCCACUUCUCUGUAACUGCAGUGAAUUCAGUGGCUUUCUUAAUUCAGUGACAUUCAUAUAUAUCACCAAGCUGUUCUUUUUGCUGAAAUAUUUAUUUGCCUUGAGUUGGACUGUAUGAAACGUUAACCACAGACUUAGUAACUGACACAUUAUGUUCCCUUGUUUUGCUGAAAGCCGUUGCCCAGGGAUUAAAGACCUGUGGGAGAGAGUGGAGCCCCUUCAGACACCCUGUCCUCCACCACCAGCACCACGGCUGCUGCAGCCAGACCCCAGACGUGGCAGCCUCAAGUUACCUCUCCAUCCACCUCGCCCUUCAGCCUCUGAGAUGUACUCUGAGGUCCAGCCUUUUCCUUUGUCACUUACUCAUUGAAUUUAUUAACUGUAAGAUGGAGAGAACACAUUUGCGAGAAUUCUGGUAAAAGCAAAGUGGUAGAAAGAGCGAACAGAUUUAUGAAUAUGAUUUCAUCAGAAGCUUCCCCGGGGAGUUGGAAAUCCUUUCCCAUCGCUAUACAGUGAGACAAUGGAAAGACUCACUGGAAAGAAAUGUCACAGGAGCGGGUGCAAGAAAUUUUGUGAAUCUCAAGGCUCCUGAUGACCUGUGUCAGGGACACAAGGUAACGUGGUGGGUAAAGAUUACAGCUUUCAAGCAGGUGGAAGGAAAAGGUUACACACACACACACACACACACACGCACACACACACACACACACUCUGGACCUCGGUAAGUUAAUAGCUGCCAUCUUUGCACAGUGAGAAAAGGCAUUAUUCAGGGAACCUAGCAGGUAUUAGGGGUUCCAAGACUCUCUACUUAUCUUUCCGUGGAAUCUGGUUAUUUAUGAGGCUUUGGGGAUUAAAGUGACAUCUCUUCUCGCAACUGAGCUUGGCGCCUUCUUGUCCCUGUUUCAGUGCAUGAAGGAAAUUUAAUACAGAGCUCCCCACUUUGCACAGAGAGCCACAGCAAAUCCAUAGUAAAGUAGUUUCCUUAUUUUUAAUCAACUUCAGGAAACAGACUAAUGUGUGUUUUCUAAGAGAGAGAAGGGAUCUUCAUGCUGUGAAAGUAUAACCCUUCACCUCUGUUAGGUGUCAAGGUUCUUUGGAAGGAGAGGUGGGCCAGGUGAGGUGGGGAAGGGUCUGGGAACUGGAUGGUUUUGGAGGAUGGGUGGUCACAGGGUCAUCAGGGUUCACAUCAGAAGAGGCAGGGAACUAAGUCAAAGCCAGGCAGGACCAGAGAAGCUGGGAGGAGAAAUGUUUCAUAGGCACUGUGGUCUGGGCUGGAGGUAGAACUUGAGUUCCUGGGCUAGAGAAUAACCUCAAGGAGAAUGGAUGGUAUUGCCAUUAUAUUCCGCUAACUUAGCCUACAGUCCAGCAUAUAGUUGGAUGGCUCAAUAAAUAUUUAUUAAUUGGAUGAGUAAAUAAAGGGAUGAAGUAGAUGGAGUUCCUGCUGUGGUACAGUGGCUUAAUCCAACUGCAGUGGCUCAGGUUGCUGUGGAGGCUCGGGUUUGAUCCCCAGCCCAGCAUAGCUGGUCAAAGGAUCUGGCGUUGCCACAGCUGUGGUGUAGAUUGCAGCUGUGGCUCAGAUUCAGUCCCUGGCUCGGAAACUUCCAUAUGCCACGACUUCAGCCAUAAAUAAAUGUAAGAAGUAGAGAGUUUCUGCUGUGGCUCAGUAGUAAUGAAUCCAACUAGUAUCCAUGAGAAUGCGGGUUCAAUCCCUGGCCUUGCUCAGUGGGUUGGGGAUCCGGCAUUGCUGUAAGCUGUGGCAUAGGUUGCAGACAUGGCUCGGAUCUGGUGUUGCUGUGGCUGUGGCAUAGGCUGGCAGUUGUAGCUCCAGUUAGACCCCUAGCCUGGGAACCUCCAUAUGCCAC